rnacentral:rRNA from 1 species
GAAACCCGCCCCCCGAUAGACUAAGGUUUCCUGCUCAACGCUAAUCGGAGCAGGGUUAGUCGGGACCUAAGGCUACGCCGAGAGGCUACGUCGAUGGACAGCUGGUUGAUAUUCCAGCACUUACUUUAAGAAGUGAUGCAGUGACGCAGAAGUGAAAGUACCGCGGGCGGACGGAAGUGCCCGUUGAAGGCCGUAGAUAU